rnacentral:lncRNA from 1 species
CCUCAUCCUCAUCCCCAUCUCCUCCCUCCCUCCCAAACCAAACCAGGCCUUGCCCGAUGGCCCAAAAGGAAAACUCCCACUCCAGACCCGCUGUGGGGGAGCGGGGUCAUCCCCAGCCGGCCCCAUCCCUGUCUCAGAUGUGGGACAUUCCCAGUCCCAGAGGGAAUUGUGCUUUGCCAUCACCCAGGUUUCAUCCUGGACAAUGGAGAGGGAUCCUUGCCUCGGCCAGGAGAGCAAAUCCAGCAUUACCACAGGGAAGUCUCAGGGAGGAGGGGAACCAUUCCAGGGUGACCUGGGAUUCCUGCAGUGCCUGACCCUAAAGGAAGUGGUUUGGGGAUUUUAGGAACAGCUCCUGCCUGGCCCUUCCUCCUCCGUGCUGCCAUUCCCAGCCAAUUGUGAGGCUUUCCCCUGUGCCUGACCCUUUUAUCCUUUUCCCACUUCCUUUUCUGAAUUCCCACUCUUCCCACCAUCCCAAAAGCCUCUCCAAAUUUUUGCUCUUCCUGCUGAGCCAUUGGCAUCUCCAGAGGCUGCGGGGACGAGUCCUGCACCACUUCCAGGUGAUCCUGCUCCGCUGGAGACCCGGGGAUUGACCCUUCCCGUCUCCUUUUGGAGCUUUCCCAGCUCCCCUGCAUCUCGUCCCCGCUGCCAGCCACAUCCCGGGCCCGCAUUCCUCACACCCGAGUCACCUGCUCCGGCAGGUGCCGGCCCCAUCCCGGUUUCUCCCUGGAAAACACCCACAGGAAGGCGGCGCCUGCCCCUACCCCGUCCCGGGAGCCGGGAGAGGCCGGCCGGUGGGAGCGGAUGCAAUUCCCGGCAGUUCAGCCCUGCCUGCCCAGGAUCUUUAUCUCCCCCAGGGAGAGAGGAAGUGCAGGAGAUUGGAAUCUGGAGCUGGAAAUCGGCUCGGGAUCAGGACCAGCCUGCCAGGAUCCUCCCUGAAUCCUGCAGGAUCUCUGCUGGUCUGGCCUGGAGGUGCCAGAGUCCUCCUGGAAUCGUGGAACCAGAGAAUCCGGGAGUGGGUUGGGUUGGAAGGACCCGGAAUCCCACCCAGGGACCCCUCCCACCAUCCCAGGCUGCUCCAGCCCUUCCAGCCUGGCCUGGGACACUGCCAGGGGUCCUGGGGCAGCCCCAGCUGCUCUGGGAAUUCCAUCCCAGCCCCUCAGGGAACAAUUCCCAAUUCCCAAUAUCCCCUCUGGCAGUGGGAGCCAUUCCCUGUGUGCUGUCCCUGCAGCCCUUGUCCCCAGCCCCUCCCGGAGCCCCUUUAGGGGCUCUGAGCUCUCCCUGGAGCCUUCCCUUCUCCAGGAGAACAUUCCCAGCCCUCCCAGCCUGCCUCCAGGUCCAACCCCACCUUCCUCUAGCCCUGUUUGUCACCUCCAGCCGCCUCUGGGGACUCGAAGCCCCCCGAAAUGGAAGCGCCCCAUCCCUGGGGAGCAGCGCCGCGUUCCCUGUGCUGGGACAGAGCCCCCGGG